rnacentral:rRNA from 1 species
UACGGAGGGUGCAAGCGUUAAUCGGAAUUACUGGGCGUAAAGCGUGUGCAGGCGGUUUGUUAAGUCCGGUGUGAAAGCCCCGAGCUCAACUUGGGAAUUGCAGUGGAUACUGGCAGGCUGGAGUACGGUAGAGGAAGGUGGAAUUCCCGGUGUAGCAGUGAAAUGCGUAGAUAUCGGGAGGAACACCAGUGGCGAAGGCGGCCUUCUGGACCAGUACUGACGCUCAUGCACGAAAGCGUGGGGAGCAAACAGG